CGGCAAUGGAGGAAACUCUGACCGAGCAACGCCGCGUGAACGAUGAAGUAUUUCGGUACGUAAAGUUCUUUUAUUAGGGAAGAAUAAAUGAUGGAAAAAUCAUUCUGACGGUACCUAAUGAAUAAGCCCCGGCUAACUAUGUGCCAGCAGCCGCGGUAAUACAUAGGGGGCAAGCGUUAUCCGGAAUUAUUGGGCGUAAAGGGUGCGUAGGCGGUUAAAUAAGUUUAUGGUCUAAGUGCAAUGCUCAACAUUGUGAUGCUAUAAAAACUGUUUAGCUAGAGUAAGAUAGAGGCAAGUGGAAUUCCAUGUGUAGUGGUAAAAUGCGUAUAUAUAUGGAGGAACACCAGUAGCGAAGGCGGCUUGCUGGGUCUUUACUGACGCUGAGGCACGAAAGCGUGGGGAGCAAACAGGAUUAGAUACCCUGGUAGUCCACGCCGUAAACGAUGAGUACUAAACGUUGGGUAAAACCAGUGUUGAAGUUAACACAUUAAGUACUCCGCCUGAGUAGUACGUACGCAAGUAUGAAACUUAAAGGAAUUGACGGGACUCCGCACAAGCGGUGGAUCAUGUUGUUUAAUUCGAAGGUACCCGAAAAACCUCACCAGGUCUUGACAUGCUUCUGCAAAGCUGUAGAAACACAGUGGAGGUUAUCAGUUGCACAGGUGGUGCAUGGUUGUCGUCAGCUCGUGUCGUGAGAUGUUGGGUUAAGUCCCGCAACGAGCGCAACCCUUAUUGUUAGUUACCAGCACGUAAUGGUGGGGACUUUAGCAAGACUGCCAGUGAUAAAUUGGAGGAAGGUGGGGACGACGUCAAAUCAUCAUGCCCCUUAUGACCUGGGCUACAAACGUGAUACAAUGGCUGUUACAAAGAGUAGCUGAA
rnacentral:rRNA from 1 species